CCGCGUGAGGGAUGAAGGCCUCUGGGGCUGUAAACCUCUUUUAUCAAGGAAGAAGAUCUGACGGUACUUGAUGAAUAAGCCACGGCUAAUUCCGUGCCAGCAGCCGCGGUAAUACGGGAGUGGCAAGCGUUAUCCGGAAUUAUUGGGCGUAAAGCGUCCGCAGGCGGCCCUUCAAGUCUGCUGUUAAAAAGUGGAGCUUAACUCCAUCAUGGCAGUGGAAACUGUUGGGCUUGAGUGUGGUAGGGGCAGAGGGAAUUCCCGGUGUAGCGGUGAAAUGCGUAGAUAUCGGGAAGAACACCAGUGGCGAAGGCGCUCUGCUGGGCCAUCACUGACGCUCAUGGACGAAAGCCAGGGGAGCGAAAGGGAUUAGAUACCCCUGUAGUCCUGGCCGUAAACGAUGAACACUAGGUGUCGGGGGAAUCGACCCCCUCGGUGUCGUAGCCAACGCGUUAAGUGUUCCGCCUGGGGAGUACGCACGCAAGUGUGAAACUCAAAGGAAUUGACGGGGGCCCGCACAAGCGGUGGAGUAUGUGGUUUAAUUCGAUGCAACGCGAAGAACCUUACCAGGGUUUGACAUCCUGCGAAUCUCUUGGAAACGAGAGAGUGCCUUCGGGAACGCAGUGACAGGUGGUGCAUGGCUGUCGUCAGCUCGUGUCGUGAGAUGUUGGGUUAAGUCCCGCAACGAGCGCAACCCACGUCUUUAGUUGCCAGCAUUUAGUUGGGCACUCUAGAGAGACCGCCGGUGAUAAACCGGAGGAAGGUGUGGAUGACGUCAAGUCAUCAUGCCCCUUACAUCCUGGGCUACACACGUACUACAAUGCUACGGACAAAGGGCAGCAAGUUCG
rnacentral:rRNA from 1 species